GGCCCCCCUCCCGUGAGCCCACGCUCCUCAUCCUUCUCUUUCAUAUCUUCUCUCCUCCACCCGUCUUCUCCAGGCUUCCUCUCCCUCGCCUCGCUCACCACCAGGGGGGCUCACGCUGCUCCCCAUGGCCGUCGGCCGCUGCACCAGCUCGCUCCGCUUCGCCCUCGGUCAGCCCUCGCUCGUAGCUGCCACUUCGUGUCUCUUCCCCUCUGCUUCCUCUCCCUCUCCUCCAACCUUGCAGUCAUUCAUCCCCUUUCAAGUUUUCUGCAACGCGGUUGUUGUUUCCGCAACGUGGUUGUUGUUGCGGGAGUUGGAGCAAUCGUUUCUGCAACCCGUUCGUUGUUUCAGGAAUUGUUUCUGCGACCGGUUAGUUGUUUCAGGAAUUGUUCUGCAACACAGGCGCUGUUGCACAAAGACGAAGGUACUUUACAGGGCAUCGGCGUUGAUUCAUACAUGGCCGUGACUCACUCCUGCGGAAACCGGGAGCCUUUAGUUACUGGGUCUAUCCGGUAGGAGAUGGUAGCUCGGGAUAUCUACAACAGGUUUGGAUGGCGGUCCGGUAAUAGGAUAGAUGGUCAUGCAUCUAUGCCUAUGUUAGCCGGUUGUGGCAUCCUUUGGUUUUAUUUUGGAUUAUUUUGUUGCUCCUUUAGAGCUUGUUCCGAACCACAGACUAUUUAAUUUCUUUCUUUAAUAAAGUGGUUGCAUGUAUCGUAUUCAUGCAAAGGCCGGAA